AUGAACUACUUUUUAGAAGGCAGAAGGUGUUGGAGGAGGGUGGAGCUUGUUCAGCCCAGUCUGGGGUGGUGUGCCUCUUCUUGGAUCAGCCCAAAGAUUACAGGCCCAAUCUCUUCUGAAGCUGGAUUUCUGACAACAAAAUGCAAGAAAAGCCCAAGUCUUGACAAAAGGAAGAGAUGACUGACUCCUGGUGCUUGCCACAUACAAGGCACUGAGCUAGGCAUUGAGGCACCAUGGUGACAAAGGGGAUAAACUAUUGGACAAGAAUUUCAGGAAGACCUGAGCUCAGAUACAGUCUCUUCAUUUCCAUAUAGUGGCAGUCCUCUGGAUUUCUCCCAUCAUGCCCCAGGAAACCCUUCACCUGCAAGAUCACCUGAGCCCUAGAACUAUCACCUUGCACUACCCUCUGCCCCUUGGCAUGAAGUAUCUACCCAGCUGCCCUCUCCCCCUUGUUAAACUUUUCCCAUCUGUCUUCCAAUUGAUACUAUGUAUCAGUUCUAAAGCAGAAGAAUGAUAAAUUUAACUUUAAUAAAUAAAUAAAUAAAUCACUUGGUU
rnacentral:lncRNA from 1 species